UACGGAGGGGGCGAGCGUUAUUCGGAAUUAUUGGGCGUAAAGGGCUCGUAGGCGGCCAACUAAGUCAGACGUGAAAUCCCUCGGCUUAACCGGGGAACUGCAUCUGAUACUGGAUGGCUCGAGUUUGGGAGAGGGAUGCGGAAUUCCAGGUGUAGCGGUGAAAUGCGUAGAUAUCUGGAGGAACACCGGUGGCGAAGGCGGCAUCCUGGACCAACACUGACGCUGAGGAGCGAAAGCCAGGGGAGCAAACGGG
rnacentral:rRNA from 1 species